GUCUUGGUCGUGAAGUUAAAUCAUGGGAACAUUAUUAACAACCAAUGGAAAAACUAAGUUGUUUUUUUUUGCUAUGGUGCCUCGCUAAGCUAAACCCUAAAGAGGGAAAGUUGCCGAUUUUCAACCCUUCUGGAGUGCGUCAUCCAACGGGAAUUUUACCUGCAGAUAAACGCAGACCU